AACAUAUUUGUACAUGUGGGACACAUUAUGUUAGCGUACUGCUUUUCAUUUCCCAUUGUAUGACACAAAAUAAAUAGACCCAUAAUUUGAUCGUUUGUAUACAGUAUGCAAAUUACAAAUGUUCAAGUAAAACAAUUAAUUAAUUAAUGCAAGAAAUUUAAACUGAUUCUUCCGACAUACGUGAAUGCAGCGUUGGAAAAGCAGACCGCGGGAACCUGUUACUUUUAAUUUUUUUUAAAAAUUCGUAACAGAAGUAAAAACUAAAUUAACUCACUUUAACUACAAAAAUUCCAGCAGGAGAAACAAGAAAUGGUGAAGGGAAAGGCAAAGAGCGUUGGAACUAAUGAUAAUUUGCCAGCAGCGAAAUCUCUUCGGUCCAGAAAGAGGGAUGGUAAGGAAAGUGAAGCGACUCCUCUUACUGUUGAUAUUCCACCUCCUGUCCAUCAAAAGGACACUGAAGGAAGCAACACUGCAAUAAUCAAUGCUCUAUCCCAGUCCGCUGUGAGUGAGUGCCCUCUGGAAACAAACCAAGAGGAGGAGUGUUCUCAACCUAAACAAAGAGAUGACACAACCAAUGAGAAACUCACAGGAAUGAUCCAUAAAGAUACAGAAGAACCUUUAGGAAAUGUGACUACUACAAUCCAUGAAGAGACUACUGCCCACGAGCACAACAGUGAUCCCCAGCUUGGAGUCCCUCAAGUUCAUACUAGUGAUGUAAUGGAAAAGCAAAAAGAAGAAGAAGAAGCUCUACAGAAAGGUCGUUUACUCCAGAUUGUGCUGCCAGUCCUUGUUGAAGGAGAUGGAUUGUGUUUGACUACUGAGGAGAAGCGACUGUGUGUAAAGGUUAAUUCUCAGAGUAAUUUGUACGAUGACAAGGAUUCUGAUCAAGUCAAACCACAUGACAAUUCAGUGUUUGACGUUAAAGAACCAGCAAAGGAAGCAGCUGUGAGUUUACCAGCCAAGAAGAAGAGAAGGAUGGGAAUGCGUGGUCUGACAGAGAAGAAGCGCAGCCAAUUUGUUCCAGUUCAAAAAUGUGAAAAUGGGCAGAAUCAGAACAUUUGUGAGAUGAUGGAAGAAAAACAGAGUAUUGAUAUCUCAGCUGAGCCACUUCCCAUGGAAACCAGUGUGGAUUCACCUUCCACACAUCAAACCGUACCAGUAGACGACAACUUGAAGAGAGGAAAAGAGCUACAGCCUGUUAACAGCCAGGAGAAAGACAGCACAACGACUGAAGUCCACGCUCCUGUGAAAUCAUCAAGUGAAACAAACACUGUCUGUGAGAAAGAGGGGAACCAGUGUGAGGCUGAGGAACAAAUCCUAACCCAACAUCCAGAGUCAGAUCCGCCUGCUGAGGAACCGGAGGAGAAACAUUCAGGGAAUCACAAGCUGCAAGAACCAAACAGGAGCGAAACGGAGAGUAGAGAACCUGAGUGUGAGAUCCAAGCAGAGAAAGAUGGUUCCUCACCAGCACAAUGUUCCCUAGAGGACAGUGUUUACACAAGUCACAGUGAGAAGAUUGGCAAACAAGAGGCCAUCAUUGCUGCGGUUACAGGAGAGGAAGUAUCUGCACCUACUGCAGACACUCAGGCCACAGAGGUGAACUUUGUCCAAACGGAGGUGAACGAGGCCGCAGUGAUGCCCAGCGUGUCCCAGAGAGAGGAGAAGGGUAAGAAUGAAGAUAAACCUGCAGCUGGAUCUUCCCCUGGGAACGCCGUCCACAAACAGACCAAGAUUACCACAGAACCAAAUGGAUCCGUGUGCUCAGAAUACGUGUCGGACUCACAGCUGAACACCAUUGAUCUGAUUGAGGACAAAGAGUUGGAGAAAAGUCAGAGAUCUGAUGCUUCAGUCCAUCACGAGGACUCCACAAACCUAAUCUGUGGGCUCAUCAAAGAGCUUUCCUCCCUAAAUCGGAGGGUAAUGGCCACUCAUCGAGAGCUGGAGAACCUGCGGCGGAGCAGCAAAAGUUCAAGAAGUUCAAGGCGUUGAGGAUUUACCUUUUUUUUCCCUCCAGGCUUGGUUCAGCAGGUUUUUGUUUUAUAAAAUGUUCAAACUUUUCACUGCAAACAUGUUUGUAUGUUUGUGAAAAUGUGUAAUCC
ensembl:lncRNA histone acetyltransferase KAT6A-like